rnacentral:rRNA from 1 species
UCGAGAAUUUUUGACAAUGGGGGAAACCCUGAUCGAGCGACGCCGCGUGGAGGAUGAAGGUCUUCGGAUUGUAAACUCCUGUCAUUGGGGAACAAUGCACAGAUAUUAACUGUAUUUGUGUUGAUAGUACCCGAAGAGGAAGGGACGGCUAACUCUGUGCCAGCAGCCGCGGUAAUACAGAGGUCUCAAGCGUUGUUCGGAUUCAUUGGGCGUAAAGGGUGCGUAGGCGGCGCGGUAAGUCGGGUGUGAAAUCUCGGAGCUUAACUCCGAAACUGCAUGCGAUACUGCCGUGCUUGAGGACUGGAGAGGAGACUGGAAUUUACGGUGUAGCGGUGAAAUGCGUAGAUAUCGUAAGGAAGACCAGUGGCGAAGGCGGGUCUCUGGACAGUUCCUGACGCUGAGGCACGAAGGUCAGGGGAGCAAACGGG